rfam:Oryza sativa (indica cultivar-group) chromosome 3, whole genome shotgun sequence.
AAUAAGUGCAGCCAUGAGUUUUCGCGCCCAACUUUAAUCGUUCAUUUUAUUUAAAUUUUUUUUAUAAAUAGCAUUUUUGUUAUUAUAAGAUGAUAAAACAUGAAUAAUACUUUACUCGUGACUUAUGUUUUUAAUUUUUUUUUCAAAAAUUUUCAAAUAAGACGAAUGGUUAAAGUUGGGCGCUGAAAACGAUGACUGCACGGAUG